GACACACAACAAGACCGAGAAGAAUUAAAAAAAAAAAAAAAAAAAAAGAGGUGCCUGACUUCAGUAGUCAAAGAAACACCUUCCCUGCCUCACAUCCGUUUGUGGUUUGUAAAGAAAAAAAAAAAAAAAAAAAAAAAAGAAUCUCUUCCAAAAAAGCACCGGUCUGCAGAUGUCUGCAAGAGAAUCAACAAACCCUCCUUCUUCUACGGCAGGGCAGGGGACAUACAUGUAUUUACCAGGAGCUUUAGGAUAACGCAUUUGUGGAAAGUGGAACUGAAAAUGUUAAUACUAUUGUAAGGUUUUUUCCUCUGUGGACUGAGAAAGCAAGGCCCUUUCCAGGCAUGUACUCAUCAAUGCAUACUCCAUGUAAUGACCUCGUCUAUAAUUUGGAAAGUCUUUAUAAAUGUAAUUCAACAAAAACAAUGGUCUCUCUAAGGAGAAAUCCAGGAUUGGUGUAUUUUCUGUGUAUGUAUGCACAUCCAUGUCGGUAGACACCAUCUAAGGAAGAGGAAAAAGGGCAAUUGUACAUUUAGUUCAAUUAGGAUUUUCUGGAUGCACAUAGGAUUUUAAGGAGAAAAAUAGUAUGACAAUGCAUGACAAUAAACAAAUUCAGCAAUGAGAAAAGUGUGGGAGACCACCAUGUACAAGAAUAGAGAUUUGAAUUCAGACACAAGAGAUUUGGACUGGAUUUUUGUAAAAUAAGUUCUAGGAGGAAAAUACAUGGAUACAAAUCAAGCUGGUUUACAGUAUGGAUGUUCAAUUGUGUGUUUGGAAAACUGAAUAGACCGUUUUUGAGUGCCCUCGUCUAGAGAAAGCUGAAUUCUUUGCUGAAGAAAGCUUUUUUCUCUGGAAGUUCUACUGAUGUGACUGAAUACUUCUAGGAAAUCACCAGAGACUGGUUAUUAAUAGAGCAUGGUGGAAAGCUGCUGGAUGUUUGAAACACCUCCAUCAAAUAUGAAGAAGUAAACUGACUUUAAAGCUGGACUUCUGCUGUCCCAGUUAGGUUGCUGCCCAAAAUGAGAUGACACCGCACUGUCUCCUCCCUACCUAGGUUUUGCAACAUGAAACACAGAAGCAUUUAAGCAUCAGAAUAAUGCUUGAAGAUCAUACUUCACAGGGCCACAAGCAUACAUUUAAUUGAACAUGAAUAGCAAUACCCUGGCAGAAAGAGAAGAUUCCUCUGGUAGGUGGUUUUCCUCCAUUAGUGCAAAGGUAACUGCAGUUUCAGUUUGGCUUUCAAAGUUUUCUGCUUAAAACUCUAGAUCCCGUUUAAACAUUGUCCUGUACAUGCUCUGUGACAAAAGUAAAGACUCAUAGGAAGGUUCAGUCUUUUUCUCCACUAGAAAUGAAGCUUGUAUUAGAGUAAGGAAAGGACAACAGUCCUUUACCAGGGCCUACUACCUUCCCUCAAGAGCUUCUCUUAAUUAUCUCAGCCGUGACCUAGCUUCCUGCUCUAAAGUUAGAAAACCACAUCCUCACUGCAGAACCUUCUUGUUCUGAGCCAAAAAAUGUAUACAGACAAUAGUCUGCAGUCAGGACUCAUGGUCCUGUUUGUUGUUAAAGUACUGGAUCCAGUCAUAAGACCUUGUUGCUUCUUUCUUUGCCAAUUUUUACGCAUUCUGGUUAAUAUUCUCCAUGACAGGUAUCAGCCCCUUAUGUGUUUUUCUUAAACUACAGCCAAAACAACUGUUCUAUUUCGGAAGCUGUGACUGGGAAAAAGACACUGCUUUUCACUGAUGGCAAGAUUUUCUCUGGCAAUCAAGAGUCUGGGAGAUUGCUGGGGAUGGAAAGAGAGCAACACACCAAAAUAAUAUUGACAUUGAUAUUAGUAUUAACAUAAAAAUAAUAACAAUAACAAUAACAAUUUUUAAAAGGAAAACAGAGCUGAAUAGCUCCUUAUUCAGACAGGAUCAAUUAUUCUGUGCAAAAUCUCAUGGGUGAUCUUAUAAUUAAUUAUUAUGUCAUAUAUACUAGGGAGUUAAAGAGAGCUUAGUAUUCAGCUAACUUAUAUCUCUAACUGCUUUACACUGAAAAAGCAUUUUUAACAUAACUGUGUGCAGUAAUGUGUAGUACAUUUUAAUGAGAAUGACACAACUCAUUUAUUAAAUUCUUAUUAAUUCUUUAAAAUGCAUAUACUGAGGCUAGUAAAUUCAUAUGUAUUUUAGACAUAAGAGAAACUUAAUGACCUAUUUUAGAAGACACUAAAGAAUUUCAGUUCUCAGGUAAUAGGAAAGAAACUAUGAAUACUCAAUGACCAUCAGUUUCUCUUGUUCUCUAUAAAAUAGAGCAUGUUUACAUACAUAAGAAAUGCAAUAGUUAUUGGAUAGUUCUACCUGAAUGUAGAUGUAGCCUAGAGCACUAGAGGAAAUUACUCUGCUUGGGGAUGAGUUAAAGUUUGCUUUGAAGCCAAAUCUAAAUUUUACCACAGAAGCCUCUAUCAAACUGGUUAAAUAAAAUAUCAGUACAAACACCUAUUUAUUUAGCUAAAUUUAUCUCCAUACAGAAAGAAAUACAGCUUAUGUUUUUUUCUGUUUCUACCUGUUCUGCUGCAGAAGUACCAAAACACACACAAGUCUUAGCAAGUAGUUAAUAAAUAUAUAUAUAUAUACACACUCCAUAAAAUACAUAUAAGUUUCCAAUAUGUUUUUAUAUUUUACUGUAUAAGAAUUUCUGUUUAUGGUUAAAGAUUUCUAAAAUACAAGCAAUCCAUUCAAAUCUCAGAUAACUGAGACUUGUGCAGGUCACCCAAAUAAGUAACUUCAGAUUUUUGUAACUUUGGUUGGAGACCAGGUAGGCUUAUUAUUUACAGCAUAUGCCUUAUCUCUAUGAGUCCUCAAUAAUCAGAAAAGCAAUGAAGGCAGAAGCCUGGAAUCCAACCUAUUAAUGAUGAUUGAUACUCUUCCAGAGAUGAAGGUGCUAUUAAUCUCAGAGGAGCAAGCAUAGGUUACAACCUGCCUAUAAGCUAUAUUUCAGCUACUUCUGUUCUUAUGCAUAGUGAUUUCCAGAUUAAGUUAUAUAGGUUACAAUGUCUAACUGUAAUCUAUUGGAUCAUGAAAUCUUGAUUUUUAUUUUGUUUUGCUUUCCAGUGGAUCGAGAUUAUUCUGUUUUAGAGAAUAGAACUCAAAAGACUAACAUCUUUUUCCUUAAACACAAACCUAAAAUCCUCUCUCGGGGUUUGUUUAGCUAUGAUAACAGAAGCCAGCACUUAGGCAUGCGAUUUUCUGCUUGAGGCAGUGCAAGCCCUUGUCAGUGAAAUGUUCUAAAGGGACCUUCUUACAGCCCAACUCCACUUGUUCACAGGCAUUCACAGACUCAAGGCCAACCACACACCAUUUGAUUGUGAGUGUACAUUGCAUGCAAUUGGGAAAAAAUCAAAGACCUCCCUCCAUUAACAUUGGGGUUAGAACUUACAAUAUUUAAAUAGGCAUCUGCAGCACAGAUGGGGGAUCUUCUGGGGGAUCACUGAUCUGGCCGCAUACCUGGCAACUUCUAACACGUGUCUUCCUGUAAGGCACAGUCACUUUUUUAAACAUUACACACUCCUUUCUUCCUUAUAAGCAAGUCAAGUUCACUCAGCCUUUUUUUUUUUUUUUUUUCCUGCUGCUGGAAUGUCUAAUACAAACUAUAAAGGUAAAGAUCCCACAAACCCUUUUGGGAAAAUGAUGGAAGCAUUUCAGGUAAUAUUUAAAACACAGAAAUAUAAUAAAAAAUGUUGGGCACUUCUACUCACACUUGACUCAUUUCUUGUGCUAUGAAUGUCAUCAUAAAACCAAUUGGUGCGUUGCUACUUGUACCUUUGUUAUGGUAGUGGCCAUCAAGGCCUAUUUUAAUGCUU